ACGGGAGGCAGCAGUGGGGAAUAUUGCACAAUGGGCGAAAGCCUGAUGCAGCAACGCCGCGUGAAGGAUGAAGGCCUUUGGGUCGUAAACUUCUGUCCUUGGGGACGAAACAAAUGACGGUACCCUUGGAGGAAGCCCCGGCUAACUACGUGCCAGCAGCCGCGGUAAUACGUAGGGGGCGAGCGUUAUCCGGAAUUAUUGGGCGUAAAGAGUGCGUAGGUGGUCUUUUAAGCGCGGGGUGAAGGGCAAUGGCUUAACCAUUGUUAGCCUUGCGAACUGGGAGACUUGAGUGCAGGAGAGGAAAGCGGAAUUCCUAGUGUAGCGGUGAAAUGCGUAGAUAUUAGGAGGAACACCAGUGGCGAAGGCGGCUUUCUGGACUGUAACUGACACUGAGGCACGAAAGUGUGGGGAGCAAACAGGAUUAGAUACCCUGGUA
rnacentral:rRNA from 1 species